AGAAUCAACGCUGGCGGCGUGCCUCAGACAUGCAAGUCGAACGCGAAAGUCCCCUUCUGGGGACAAGUAGAGUGGCGCACGGGUGAGUAACACGUAGGUAAUCUACCUUCGGAUGGGGAAUAACAACCGGAAACGGUUGCUAAUACCGCAAUAAUGCAGCGGCACCUAAUGGUGACAGUUGUUAAAGCGGGGGAUCGAAAGACCUCGCGUCUGAAGAGGAGCCUGCGGCGGAUUAGCUAGGUUGGUAGGGUAACGGCCUAACCGAAGGCGACGAUCC
rnacentral:rRNA from 1 species